rfam:Schistosoma haematobium scaffold948_5, whole genome shotgun sequence.
AUCCAGCUGACGAGUCCCAAAUGAGACAAGAUGAGCGUCCUGGAU